CGAGGCGCGAAACCUUUACACUGCACGCACGUGCGAUAAGGGGACUCCGAGUGCGAGGGCAUAUCGUCCUCGCUUUCGUGUACCGUAGGGUGGUACACCAACAAGGGCUGGGCAAGACCGGUGCCAGCCGCCGCGGUAAUACCGGCAGCCCGAGUGAUGACCGAUCUUAUUGGGCCUAAAGCGUCCGUAGCUGGCUGCGCAAGUCCGUCGGGAAAUCCACUCGCCCAACGAGUGGGCGUCCGACGGAAACUGCACAGCUUGGGACCGGAAGGCUCGAAGGGUACGUGCGGGGUAGGAGUGAAAUCCCAUAAUCCCGCACGGACCACCGAUGGCGAAAGCACUUCGAGAAAACGGAUCCGACAGUGAGGGACGAAAGCCAGGGUCUCCAACCGGAUUAGAUACCCGGGUAGUCCUGGCCGUAAACAAUGUUCGCUAGGUAUGACACAGACUACGUGUCUCUGUUGUGCCGUAGGAAGCCGAGAAGCGACC
rnacentral:rRNA from 1 species